UUUUCAUUCCCGUUGUCAUGGAGAUUGCGUACCCACUGCAGAGGGCUGAAGACGGGGUAGCCACGAGGUUGCAAAUUCGUGAAGAAUCAGCAGCAUGUUUGGCAGCUGAGUAUUGGAGCCAGGAGCCUGCCAUGAGGUUUUGAGAACAGGGUGCUGUUUUAGAGCUGGCAGCAGCAUCUCAGCCCAAGAGAAGGUAAGCCUUGAGCUGGCCAAUGAUCCCCCAACCCCAUAGUGGAAUGAAUAAACAGCUGAUCUUGUUAAAACUUGCUUCAAAAAUAAGAUAUCAAAUGAUGAAAUCACCCAAAAUAGCUGGAAUUACCGGCAGAUUGUGUAGUGGUGAACCUACGGUUUUCUGAAGAUAUCUCUUACCCUGUGAUUGACUGUCAGUUGGUGCAGAAAGUGAGAUUGAAAUGUAGUUUCUUUGCAGGUUAUAUUCCCAGAGGAUGUCAGUCCCAAGGACCAGUAGCUGCCAUCAGUUUGGAUUCUGAAAACUAACCGGCAUCAACAUUGGGUGUAGAAACAUGCUUGCCUUGUGUAUCAGAGGACAUGCUCAGCAGAUCCA
rnacentral:antisense_RNA from 1 species